rnacentral:lncRNA from 1 species
UCAAGUUGGGGGGACACAUCCAGUUGGUGAUAGACCAGGGGAGACGUUGCUCCAUGAACAUGGGAGUACAAACAGGAGCAGGUGGAUAAACACUCCACGGAGCUCACCAGAAUAAAAAUAGGUAAUCCUUCUCCCCUGCCGUCUUGCAUCUUUAUUCUUGGUUCUUGCUUUUCUAUUUAUGAAGUGCAAUGACAUAUACUACUAUUUUAAUGCUUGCAUACAACUAUAAUUGCUGGGUUUUUUGUGCCAAAUGUUGACUUGUGUUAUUCUAAACUUGUGUACGUGAAAGCACAUUGACCAGCUCAUCUCCACUAUGAUGCAGGGGAAGAAACUGAAUCUGGGGAAGACAUUGUUAAUAUCAUCAGGUUGUCAUGCUUAAGUACAUAUACAAUUAGAUGUGAAGCUCCAAAACAGGGUUUAUAAUCACUCGGUCGUUUCUGUUUCUUUAUUAUGUUAUCAUGAUAAGACCAGAUACAGUUAGAUAUGAAGCUGUUUGUUUGUCGCCCUUUAUGUUAAUGUGAUAUUCAGUAGGGUAGCUCUUUAAUUUAUAUUUUUCUUUCUCUUAGGCAGCAAUGAUGCUCCUUAUAUUGAUGUGAUAUUCUACCAUGUUUUAUCCUAUACAUUACAAUGCCAUUCUGUAUUUAGUAUGCUCAGGAUCAUUUGAUCUGUCUUGUGCUUGUGUUUUCUUUGUUGGUUCAGUCUUAAUGGUACUUAUCCUUAUAGUUCCUUGGGAUUUUUGUCUAUCAUACCUUUUGACCUUUCACUACGUUAGUAUUUUUGACUAAUUCGGCAGUUACAUUGCAAGUUCAAGGAAUAUCAUUGGCACAGCAGAGAGGUUGCAAACAAGAAGUUGAGUUUAUCACCUGGUGGCAUUAAAAUGUAUCAUUAUUCCUCCAGAUGAAGAGGUACCAUUCCCUACUGUUACAAAAUCAAAUAAUUUUGUGUUAUGCCGAUAAGCUUGGUAAAGUUGUGUGCUCACGUCAUAUCAUCAAUCUGUCCUCAUUUGUUAUGCAUGUAAUCUACUGAUUGUAGUAGCCUUAUGUAGAAAAACAAUUAUUUUAUUUAUGUUCUCCCAUCGCAGAACCAUCUUGGGUGAAACUGUUAUUACCACAUUUGAGGGACUGCAACCAUUUAUUGCUGCCUUAAUUUGUUAAAUUAGUUUGAAGACAGCCAUAUGUUUCCAUAAAUUCUGAAUUCUUUACUACACUAAGAUUGAGCGGAAUACAUGGUGUGAUUAGCAAUUGUUCUGUUUUCCGUUGAAAUACAUGUAAUAUUACCACCUACACUCUACUUAUCUCUAAUUAGAUUAUGUAAUGAGCACUGUCUUUAUACAUAUUUUCACAGACAGAAAAUAGCCUUUGCAAAGGAUAAGAGGGCGACAACAGAAUUAAGAUUGCUUUGUGUGUUUGUUGAGUUGGCCUUGAGCUGCUGGGUGGAGGUAUGAUUUUUUGCUUAAUUGCCAAGUGCAUGAAUUGAUUGCCGUGUGUUCUUUUAGUUUCGUGCUUGGAAAUUAAUCAAUUGGUACAAGUUUUAAACUAGCUGCUAAAAAUAUAUUGUUUUAGUUGUAUGUCAACCAGCCAUCACACAUAAAGACGGUUAUGAUUUUGAGUACCCGUUUGAAAACUAAUUUGUUUUGAAAUGUUGGAAUGGAGACCAGGAACACAACACUCAACAAGUGGUCUGAUGUUGAAUUUAGUUGUCCAUUGCCUCCGGCGAAUGUCAUCUCCCAGCUCGUGGCCUUGCCCCCCUAGUAUUUUUCAUACUAUACUAAGCUGCAAAAGCUAUUUUGUUGAUUUUUUUAACUAAUGACAAUACUUCAAAGAGAAGUAAUUAUAAUAAGAUUGUUCCUGCAUGUUUUUCUUUUCAAAAAGUAGCCUCCAUGCUUCUUAAAUCUGGGUACUGUUUUGUACAGAAGCUUUUGUCUAUAGAGAAGGACAUCUGUUUCUGGUACAUACUAUUAAAACUAAUGAGCAAGUUUGCUGCAAUGAUGUUCCACAUAUAUGGUUUGCAGCUCCAUCAAUUAAAUUUGGUGUCAACUUUGUGUACAAUUCUGCGACUUAUAGUUUCACCUAGUUAUUAUGUGAUGGAUUUAGAGGGAUGGAGGUAAGGUUUGGCCAAGUUAAUUUGAGAAACUAAGAUGCCGAAUAGGUUCUUACUAUAUCACAGAUCAAUGGUCCUAGUUCUUGCAAUCGUACUUUUGCAAUUGACAUUUGACAUAAAAUGUACAACCUCCAUGAGUCCUUUCUUUAACAGAUUGAUGAGUCUUUUUGGUGCAGGCUAAUCUGGAAAAGAAGCCAAUUCAAGCUGUAAUUGAGUAACAAAUGAGGUCAUGUUUUUCAUAUGUAGUUGACGAACUUAUGUGUUAUUAGAUGUGCUCUUCCUCCUUUGUUGUAUGCAAAUUAGACGGAUUUGUAUACAAAGUACAUGUGAUUUAUUAAAACUAUGAUUAAU